UUUGGAGGGCAAAGUCUGGUGCCAGCAGCCGCGGUAAUUCCAGCUCCAAUAGCGUAUAUUAAAGUUGUUGCAGUUAAAAAGCUCGUAGUUGAAUUUCGGGAUCGACGGGUCGGUCGCGCCUCUGGUAUGUACUGGUCCUGUCGGUUCCUCCCUUCUGACGAACUGCGAUGUCAUUAAUUUGGUGUCGCGGGGAAUCAGGACUGUUACUUUGAAAAA
rnacentral:rRNA from 1 species